GUCUGUCCUGGGAGCUGCAGUUACUGCAGUGUGUGUGUGAGUUUGUAGCAGGGUGGGAGAGGAGAGAAGGGAGGUGGAGGGGCUGCACCUGGAGUGAGGACUGUAUCUGUGUGUGCAAGCCGGGGCGACAGACGGCCUGGCACACUGAAGUCAGGUGCCGGGACCCAUGGGGCCUGCUGACUCAUGGGGACACCACUGGAUGGGAAUCCUGCUUUCAGCCUCGCUUUGUACCGUAUGGAGUCCUCCAGCUGCAGCCCAGCUCACCCUCAAUGCCAACCCACUUGAUGCCACCCAAAGUGAGGAUGUUGUUCUGCCUGUGUUUGGGACCCCCAGGACACCCCAGAUUCAUGGCAGAUCCAGAGAGCUGGCCAAACCCUCCAUUGCAGUCAGCCCAGGCACUGCCAUAGAGCAGAAGGACAUGGUGACCUUCUACUGCACCACUAAGGACGUCAACAUUACCAUCCACUGGGUUUCCAACAACCUCUCCAUUGUGUUCCAUGAGCGCAUGCAGCUGUCCAAGGAUGGCAAGAUCCUCACCAUUCUCAUUGUCCAGCGGGAGGACUCAGGGACUUACCAAUGUGAAGCUCGAGAUGCCCUUCUGAGCCAGAGGAGCGACCCCAUCUUCCUGGAUGUGAAGUAUGGUCCUGAUCCUGUUGAAAUCAAAUUGGAGUCUGGUGUUGCCAGUGGGGAGGUGGUUGAGGUGAUGGAGGGCUCCAGCAUGACCUUCUUAGCGGAAACAAAGUCUCACCCACCCUGUGCCUAUACUUGGUUUCUCCUUGACUCCAUUCUGUCUCACACCACGAGAACAUUCACCAUCCAUGCUGUGUCCAGAGAACAUGAGGGCCUGUACAGGUGCUUGGUGUCCAACAGUGCCACCCACCUGUCCAGCCUGGGUACUCUGAAGGUCCGAGUACUUGAAACACUGACCAUGCCUCAAGUCGUGCCUUCAAGCCUGAACCUUGUGGAGAAUGCUAGGUCUGUGGACCUGACCUGCCAAACCGUCAAUCAGAGUGUGAAUGUCCAGUGGUUCCUAAGUGGCCAGCCCCUCCUGCCCAGUGAGCACCUGCAGCUGUCAGCUGACAACAGGACCCUAAUCAUCCAUGGCCUCCAGCGGAAUGACACCGGGCCCUAUGCCUGUGAGGUCUGGAACUGGGGCAGCCGGGCCCGGAGUGAGCCCCUUGAGCUGACCAUCAACUGUCCCCAGUCCUCCUCCCUGUCCUCAGGGGCCAUCGCUGGUAUUGUCAUCGGGAUCCUGGCUGUCAUUGCUGUGGCCUCAGAACUGGGCUAUUUUCUCUGCAUCAGAAAUGCCAGACGGCCCUCAAGGAAAACAACAGAGGACCCCAGUCAUGAGACCUCACAACCCAUCCCGAAGGAGGAGCACCCCACAGAGCCCAGUUCCGAAAGCCUGAGUCCUGAGUAUCGCAAUAUAUCCCAGCUUCAGGGACGGAUCAGAGUCGAACUGAUGCAACCACCAGACCUUCCAGAGGAGACCUAUGAGACGAAGCUGCCUUCAGCAAGCCGUAGAGGCAAUUCUUUCAGCCCCUGGAAGCCACCACCCAAACCUCUGAUGCCCCCACUCAGAUUGGUCUCCACUGUGCCAAAAAACAUGGAGUCAAUCUAUGAGGAGCUUGUGAAUCCAGAGCCCAACACUUACAUCCAAAUCAACCCCUCCGUCUAAUG
rnacentral:lncRNA from 1 species